AGAGUUUGAUCAUGGCUCAGAGCGAACGCUGGCGGCAGGCCUAACACAUGCAAGUCGAACGGAUCCUUCGGGAUUAGUGGCGGACGGGUGAGUAACACGUGGGAACGUGCCUUUUGGUUCGGAAUAACUCAGGGAAACCUGAGCUAAUACCGAAUGUGCCCUUCGGGGGAAAGAUUUAUCGCCAUUAGAGCGGCCCGCGUCUGAUUAGCUUGUUGGUGAGGUAAAGGCUCACCAAGGCUACGAUCAGUAGCUGGUCUGAGAGGAUGAUCAGCCACACUGGGACUGAGACACGGCCCAGACUCCUACGGGAGGCAGCAGUGGGGAAUCUUGCGCAAUGGGCGAAAGCCUGACGCAGCCAUGCCGCGUGAAUGAUGAAGGUCUUAGGAUUGUAAAAUUCUUUCACCGGGGACGAUAAUGACGGUACCCGGAGAAGAAGCCCCGGCUAACUUCGUGCCAGCAGCCGCGGUAAUACGAAGGGGGCUAGCGUUGCUCGGAAUUACUGGGCGUAAAGGGAGCGUAGGCGGACAGUUUAGUCAGAGGUGAAAGCCCAGGGCUCAACCUUGGAAUUGCCUUUGAUACUGACUGUCUUGAGUAUGGGAGAGGUAUGCGGAACUCCGAGUGUAGAGGUGAAAUUCGUAGAUAUUCGGAAGAACACCAGUGGCGAAGGCGGCAUACUGGCCCAUUACUGACGCUGAGGCUCGAAAGCGUGGGGAGCAAACAGGAUUAGAUACCCUAGUAGUCC
rnacentral:rRNA from 1 species